GAUGAACGCUGGCGGCGUGCCUAAUACAUGCAAGUCGAGCGAACGGACGAGAAGCUUGCUUCUCUGAUGUUAGCGGCGGACGGGUGAGUAACACGUGGAUAACCUACCUAUAAGACUGGGAUAACUUCGGGAAACCGGAGCUAAUACCGGAUGAUAUUUUGAACCGCAUGGUUCAAAAGUGAAAGACGGUCUUGCUGUCACUUAUAGAUGGAUCCGCGCUGCAUUAGCUAGUUGGUAAGGUAACGGCUUACCAAGGCAACGAUGCAUAGACGACCUGAGAGGGUGAUCGGCCACACUGGUACUGAGACACGGUCCAGACUCCUACGGGAGGCAGCAGUAGGGAAUCUUCCGCAAUGGGCGAAAGCCUGACGGAGCAACGCCGCGUGAGUGAUGAAGGUCUUCGGAUCGUAAAACUCUGUUAUUAGGGAAGAACAUAUGUGUAAGUAACUGUGCACAUCUUGACGGUACCUAAUCAGAAAGCCACGGCUAACUACGUG
rnacentral:rRNA from 1 species